rnacentral:lncRNA from 1 species
AUUCUUGAGUCUCAGACUAGUCUUCCCAGUGGUUCGCCGCACUGGGCAGAAACAGGGUCCUGUGAAUCGAGGGUAGCGAACGAGAAGGACCUCGAGGACAGAGGGCCCACUCCCACCUUCCAAGCGAGCCGUGCUCUUCUUCGCGGCCUAGCAGCGCCCCCCGCUGCACACUUUUCGGGGCCUCAGCACCAAUGGUUCCCAUAGCGACGCCUGCAUUGGUGAGAGGAGGUUCCCCUCUCUCGGGCCAUCUGAUGGGGGUGGGCGUGGGGCUCCUGGGUUCUGGAACUCUAACUCUUCCUGAGUUAGUGUCCUGGGAUCUGGAAACAGUAGGUUCCUCAGGAGGUUCUUGUGUCGGGCUCUAACCUUGGUCCCCACUCUUUUCCGCUCUUGGCCUCGCUCCCCAGGUCUGAAUUGGGGUGUCCGUUAUAAUUUCCUCCUGAGAGAACUGACCCAGUAUGCCCGUGCUUGGGUCUUGUGCUCAGUAGGAUCCAGACAGCAUCACUGUGGGCGGCCCCCGGUGUGCUAAUCUGGUUCCUCGGGCCUUCGCUUGCUUCCCUGUAGCCUGGAGGUUUCUGAGUCUAGAUGUCUGAGGUAGCUCUGCAUUGCUAGAAGUAGAAAGCCCCUUUGCUGACAGGAAAAAAGGGACUGGGUUUGUCUUCACAGCGUAUUUGGCUUGUUCCUGAACAGUGAUGAAUCAGUUUUCUGUUAACACUACUAUUUUUAAUCCUGUACUGCAAAAUAAAUUUAAAAUAUUUGUUAAUGACUGUGCUUUUGGAGUGCACAUACACAGUGGACCCAAUUACUCUCCAGCAUGCUAAGCUGUUCACUACCAGCAGCAUGGGUCUGUUCACUUUUAAGACUAAUUUUUCCUGGUGUGUGUGUACGUGCUUGUGUGCUUGUGCAAUGUGUGCUGGUACACGUGUGAGAGCUGGUACACUUUUGUAGGCAUGCAUAUGCAAGCCCACGUUUGAUACCCAGAGUCAUUUUUCAGCACUCUUCCAUGAUCUCUCAAUCAAACCCAGAACUUGUGGAUAUGGCCAGUCUUGCUAGCUAGCUUGCUCUGGGCUCUCCUGUUUUCUCCUUUUGAAGUUGGACUCAGACAGCUCCUUAGGCUCACCCAGAAUUUCCAUGGAUUUGGGGGCUCUGAACUCUCAGUUACCUGCCAUGCACUUUAACUGCUGACCCUUUUUGGACAUCCAGGGCUUGGCAACCUCACUUUUUCUCACUUGGCUUGCAGGAUUGGAUCAUUCCACUCUUCCUCUGUCAGCAUUUUGAGGGUACAGACAAAGAAGGCACAGCUCCCCUGCUGCCACCCACAGCAGUCUGAGAAGUUCCCUUAGAGAUUCUUAGGGGCUUCAUACUUAUGCUAACCCAGGACUCACAUCUUGAAUGCUGAAAAGAAUUUCAGGGUUAACCUGGUUUGAAGCAGAGUUCAGGUUUUAAUGAAAACAUCUUAAUAGAGGUUUAAGGUCUGGAGGGGCCCUCAAAAAGAUCAGAUAUAUCAGAAAGCGUGGAUAUAGAUUGUGUGUGUGUGUGUCUGUCUGUCUGUCUGUCUGUCUCUCUGUGUUUGUCUAUCUAUCUGUCUAUCUAAUGUCAUUCAUUGUUUUUUACAAAAAGUCAUAUAGGAUUUUCAUGGGAUUGAAGUUACCAUUAUCAAAGGCUUGCUAAGAAAUCUAAAUGAGAUAGCUGGGUGCUUCCUGAGGGGUCCCUGAUAGUAUUACAGUCCAUCAGGUGAAAAUCUGGCUCACAAGGAUAGAGAACAGUGGGCUAGCUUUACUGUAAACAGAGAUAGCUGAUGUGAUUUAGAUUUUUGGGGCAGUGUCUGGGGAAAGGAAGGGGGCCCUACCCAAGGUCACACAUACUCUGGCAUUAUAUCCUGGCUUAUUCCCUUAACAUAAAAUACUUCUAUGUAGGAGGACUAACUGUGCCGGAGGCUUUCACAGCAAGUAUCAAUUAUUCUAAAUUAUUUCUAAUAUAUUUAUUUCAUUUCAUGUGUAUGAAUGUUUUGUCUAUGUGUACUUAUGUGUACCAUGUAUAUAUCUGGUACCUGGGAGGCCAGAAGUAGGCACCAUACUCCCUGAAACUGGAGUUACAGUCAGUUGUGAAGUGCCAUGUGGGUGCUGGGAAUUGAUCCUGGGUCCUCAGCAAGAACAGCAAGUACUCUUAACCCCUGGGCCCUGUCCCACAUUCUUGAUUCUUACCUGGUGAGGAGCUUCAGUCAGACUCCAGAGUGAUGAGUGUCUUUCCCUCCCCAAGUGCCUACAAUGUUUCUGUAAUUCUGUCCUGUCUCAGUUCCAGUGCCAUUUCAGAAAGUCCUUCUCCAACUGCUUCAUCUAAAGCUUCUCCCAGUCUUCCACACAUCACCCCAUUUUGUUUAGGAACCCAGAGAACUGUCUCACUUCAUUUAGCACAUAAAUUAAAAUGCAACCUCUGCUGUAGUGCUGGAGGUGAGUGCUCUGCCACUGUGCUGUGUCCCCAGCUGACUGCUUCCAUAUUGUUGCAGGUCUGUAACUUUAAUUUUUUUAAAGCCUAUUUCUAAUGAUGGUUCUUAAAUGUUUUAACCUCCAUUUUAGCCCACCACCCACCAGAGGUAGUAGAAAAGAAAGGAUGUGGGGGAAGUGGACCUGUUUCGAAAGAGUCUUUGGAGCAGCUUCUAUCUGUGUUGUCUGGAAAUCGGCAGUUCAGUUCACAGGUCAGCAUCGGCAGCUUGAUUCACUUGCAAACACUUUACAGGCAUAUCAGCAGUCUAGUUUGGUAGAGUUGGGAUAGCAAACAUGAAUCAGCAGUGGUGGCAGCUAGGCCUCAGCAAGCUCGAGACCAACAAGCAUUGCACAGUUAGCUCUAUAAUCAAGCCAAACUCAGUCUCCAUCACUGUCCAUUAAGUCCUAUUUAUACUCUUUUCAAACAUCAUGUGUUCUUCACGGGUCUUGCCUCUGCACGUGCAUCUGUCUCGACUGACAUCACAUUGCCAAUCAGCCUAAGUCCUCAGAAGCCACAAGAAACUGCAGCACACUAACAGAAGAUUUUUGGUGUGUUUUCUCUAUGGAGUCAUGACAAAUGCAGCUCAACUGCGCAAUGUAAGGCAGAGCAAUACAGGUGUGUUGUUAGCAGAGAAUCCUUCAUCAGGUGUCCUUUCAUGUGUUUGUUUUAGCAGAACAUCCUUUCUCCUAUGUCUGCCUCAGCUAAACAUUCCUUCAUGUGUUGGUCCAGCAAAAUACCAUCCAACACAACUGACUUUCCAAAGAACCCUUAAGUUUCCAUUUCACAGGCCCAUUCGCAACCCUGGAAUAUGAGUUCCUUCAAAGGAUGGGGUUUGUGUUAUUUCUUUAGUAAGUGGAUAGUGAGUGAAAGACUACCCUCUGAGGCUGCUGUCACCCUCAACCUGCCACCAUGGUUACAGUCUUCAAGCCACCAUCCCAUUAGGCUCACUUUCUGCCCUCAGGCCAAGCUGGCUCAAACCCCCAAGCUGUUUACCCCCUUUUGUCACUUUGAACUUGUUGUGUGACACCAUUCCUGGAGAGAAGUGAGCAAAUGUCUCCUCACCCUACAUAGGGAACUGACAAUAGACCAAAGUAAAGAUAGUACCAUAGUCCAACUUGGUGGACUAAUAGUCCUAUUAAGAUUAUUUACAGGAACACAGGUAGUGGUUAUUUACAGGGACACAGUGACUCCAGACAGCUGUAUCUGUAACCUGACUUUUGGCUACUUGGUGAGUUUUUUUCUUUCCACCCUUUUCCACCCUCUUCCAGCCUUUCAGUUCCCUAACACUUAGUAGGAGAGAAAAAGUGGUUGGAGGGGAAAGAGGGCAAUGAUAUUGUUAGACUAAUUCCUGGUGAUUAGGGGUGUUGAGUUUCUCAGGACAACUUUUAUCUUGGCCUUCAGGAUAUCUAAUUUCUUCUUCUCAACCCUUUUGCUCAUGACUGAAGAUAAACCACAUCAAGUAGCAACCAACAUUAUCCAACCAGCAAUUGGCCAAACAGCCCAUUCUGUUGGGGCCUUUAUAUAGCUUCUGAAGUGUUCCCAGAAUUCCAAGUAUCACAUGCAGCUAGCAAAGAAACUACCUGCAGCUGGCAAAAUCGUGCCCCUGCUAGGCUAAUCAUAGUCAUCUGCUGUGAAGCAGUCCCAUCUCUCACACCUGGGAUUAAAACAAAAACACAUAUUUCUGUUUUUAACAAAACCAACAUUUUCAUUCAUGUGUUACCACAGCCUGCACUAGCAUGGGUACAGCUUUCAAAAGCUGGCAACCCAGGGUACACUGCACCAUGUGCAAGUCUGAACAGUCAGGAGUAUAGCUCUUUCAGACAUUGAUAAUGAUCUGAGCCUCUCCCAGGCAGCUCAACUGGUCUGUGUUCCUUGGCAGACCCUACACCUUAUACAUGCUUUGGGGAAGAGUAGAAUGGAUCUAGUCAGUUCCAGGACUUCCUGAGUGUAGGGAGCUUCCCUGCAGGGUGGAGUGUUGUGUCCUGGAGGAAAUGGCCACAGCAGUCCUCAGAUCUACGACCAAGCUGCCUCUUGAAUACAUGCUGCACAUUCCCUCCGUGCUUCCUGAGUACACAAAACUGUUACAGUAGGAUAGUGAAGCUUUGGGUGACACUCAAAGCAUACUUUGCAAGAUUUUCAUGGAUGAGAAUGGGAAUGAGGGGAACUUCAGAGAUACUUCCAGGCUGAGGUGCCUCAUUGAAAAAGUUAGGCUUUAUUCAAGGAGGCAUGAGAUGACUCUUGGAGUCAUGGGCUCUCAUAAGUUGCCCUCAUGUUUCUAAGAAAGGUGAGAUUGGCUGGCAGUUCCUUACCUAUACUUCGUCCUUGCCCAAGACAGAUAUCAUGCUCCAGGUUGCUACCCAUGUUCAUGGGGCCAUGGCCAUUGUCCUUGGUCACUUGGGUACCAGAUACUUAAGUAAUCUUAGGUAACACUGUGAAUAAUGGAUCAUUUAAAAAUGAAACAAAUGUGUGACAGAGCCUCUGGGUCUCGUCUAGGUACAGAUUCUCUAUUUUGAGCCCGGGCAGGUGAGGUGUGACAGGUAAAUUUAACACAAUGGAUUUUUCCAAGCUAUCCAAAAUCUGUGAUGAAGAUAUGUGGAGAGCCGUGCCGCGAGCAAUCGCGUGCGUGCUGUGAGCAAUCGCCAUUAUAAGAUGGUGCUGGCUUCCACUGUGCCUAACUAGUAAACAAGCCUUAUGCGCAAGUGCAAGAGUGAACUCAUGCCUAGUCACUGCCCAUCUCGCAGCAUAGUAAUGGGGUGAUGGGCGAGCAACGAAUCAGGAGCUGUCACGCCACAUCAGGUGCUGAAACGUCAUGCUGCGGGCUAUAUAAACAGCGCCAUUUUCCCAGUUCGGGGUCUUCCCUCCUGAUAAGUAAGCAAUAAAAGCUUUGCUGCAGAAGAUUCCAGUUGUCCUGAGUGUGUUCUUGCCGGCGGGGACAAAAGCUUGGGCAAUAAGUGGCGCUGAGGAACCCGGGAACUAUCAUCACACCAGCGCAAGGGAGAUCCCUCGUUCACGAGGUGGAACCAGAACGGGACAUUACAGCUUUACGAGGUAUGUCUGGCCUUGAACUUUCUCCAGUGUUAGAAGCCUUUUUGUUCCUUUUCACAUGGCAACAAGUGGUUAAGGCAGGGCAGAGAAUUUUGGAUGAAAUUCAAGACAGUCUAUCAGAGGUAAAGUGGGGAGAGAGAGUAGGAGCAAAGAGGAAACAUGGUGCACCAAUUAAGCAUACAGGCCUUUCCACGGGUCUCAAACCUGAGGAAAAGAUCAUGUCAGGGAAGCAUACUUGGGGAGAGUUUGGAAGGAAGGAAAAGGAAAAGG